UACUUGGGUGAGAGUGGUC
rnacentral:misc_RNA from 1 species